rnacentral:misc_RNA from 1 species
GAUGAAGAACGUAGCGAAAUGCGAUAAGUAGUGUGAAUUGCAGAAUUCAGUGAAUCAUCGAAUCUUUGAACGCACAUUGCGCCUCCUGGUAUUCCGGGAGGCAUGCCUGUUCGAGCGUCAUUAAAAUCACUCAAGCUUAGGUUUACCUAUUGCUUGGCCUUGGAGAUGGAAGCCAAUUUAUUGGAAUCCUCUUCGAAAUUCAAUGGCGAAGACCCUUGCUCUCCCAAGUGUAGUAAUAACUUAUGUCACUGAAGGAAGCGAGAAAUCUUCUGCCGUAACCCCCAUAUUUUCUAUGAUUGACCUCGGAUCAGGUAGGGAUACCCGCUGAACUUAAGCAUAUCAAUAAGCGGAGGA